AAUGAACGCUGGCGGCAUGCCUAACACAUGCAAGUCGAACGAGACCUUCGGGUCUAGUGGCGCACGGGUGCGUAACGCGUGGGAAUCUACCCUUGGGUUCGGAAUAACAGUGGGAAACUACUGCUAAUACCGGAUAAUGACGUAAGUCCAAAGAUUUAUCGCCCAAGGAUGAGCCCGCGUAGGAUUAGCUAGUUGGUGAGGUAAAAGCUCACCAAGGCGACGAUCCUUAGCUGGCUGAGAGGAUGAUCAGCCACACUGGGACUGAGACACGGCCCAGACUCCUACGGGAGGCAGCAGUGGGAAUAUUGGACAAUGGGCGAAAGCCUGAUCCAGCAAUGCCGCGUGAGUGAUGAAGGCCUUAGGGUUGUAAAGCUCUUUUACCCGGGAUGAUAAUGACAGUACCGGGAGAAUAAGCUCC
rnacentral:rRNA from 1 species